rnacentral:rRNA from 1 species
GAUGAACGCUGGCGGCGUGCCUAAUACAUGCAAGUCGAGCGAACAGACGAGGAGCUUGCUCCUUUGACGUUAGCGGCGGACGGGUGAGUAACACGUAGGUAACCUACCUAUAAGACUGGGAUAACUUCGGGAAACCGGAGCUAAUACCGGUUAAUAUUUCGAACCGCAUGGUUCGAUAGUAAAAGAUGGCUUUGCUAUCACUUAUAGAUGGACCUGCGCCGUAUUAGCUAGUUGGUAAGGUAACGGCUUACCAAGGCAACGAUACGUAGCCGACCUGAGAGGGUGAUCGGCCACACUGGAACUGAGACACGGUCCAGACUCCUACGGGAGGCAGCAGUAGGGAAUCUUCCGCAAUGGGCGAAAGCCUGACGGAGCAACGCCGCGUGAGUGAUGAAGGUCUUCGGAUCGUAAAACUCUGUUAUUAGGGAAGAACAAACGUGUAAGUAACUGUGCACGUCUUGACGGUACCUAAUCAGAAAGCCACGGCUAACUACGUG